rnacentral:rRNA from 1 species
AUUGAACGCUAGCGGGAUGCUUUACACAUGCAAGUCGAACGGCAGCGCGGAAUUCGGUCUGGCGGCGAGUGGCCAACGGGUGAGUAAUGUAUCGGAACGUGCCAAGUAGCGGGGGAUAACUACGCGAAAGCGUAGCUCAUACCGCAUAAGCCCUACGGGGGUAAGCAGGGGAUCGUAAGACCUUGGACUAUUGGGGCGGCCGAUGUCGGAUUAGCUAGUUGGCGAGGUAACGGGUCACCAAGGCGACGAUCCGUAGCUGGUUUGAGAGGACGACCAGCCACACUGGGACUGAGACACGGCCCAGACUCCUACGGGAGGCAGCAGUGGGGAAUUUUGGACAAUGGGGGCAACCCUGAUCCAGCCAUCCCGCGUGUGCGAUGAAGGCCUUCGGGUUGUAAAGCACUUUUGUCAGGAAAGAAACGUCGCGGGCUAAUACCCCGUUGAACUGACGGUACCUGAAGAAUAAGCACCGGCUAACUACGUG